UACGAAGGGGGCUAGCGUUGUUCGGAUUUACUGGGCGUAAAGCGCACGUAGGCGGAUCGUUAAGUCGGGGGUGAAAUCCUGGAGCUCAACUCCAGAACUGCCUUCGAUACUGGCGAUCUUGAGUCCGGAAGAGGUGAGUGGAACUCCUAGUGUAGAGGUGAAAUUCGUAGAUAUCAGGAGGAACACCGGUGGCGAAGGCGGCUUCCUGGACAUCUUCUGACGCUGAGACGCGAAAGCGUGGGGAGCAAACAGG
rnacentral:rRNA from 1 species